rnacentral:rRNA from 1 species
UACGUAGGGUGCGAGCGUUAAUCGGAAUUACUGGGCGUAAAGCGUGCGCAGGCGGUUUUGUAAACCAGGUGUGAAAUCCCCGGGCUCAACCUGGGAAUGGCAUUUGGGACUGCAAGGCUGGAGUGCGGCAGAGGAGACUGGAAUUCCUGGUGUAGCAGUGAAAUGCGUAGAUAUCAGGAGGAAUACCGAUGGCGAAGGCAGGUCUCUGGGCUGACACUGACGCUCAUGCACGAAAGCGUGGGGAGCAAACAGG